rnacentral:lncRNA from 1 species
CCCAGUGGUAAAGCACCCUGGUUUCAAUCUCCAGAACCAAAAUAAAUAAGUAAAUAAGCAAGCAAGCAAACAAACAAAUACAUAAAAUUUUGAAAGGAAGUGAAAUUUAAAUGAUCAAAACCAAUUAUCUAUUAUUUGUAAUUUCAGGAUUAAUUAUAACAUGUACUAUUAUUGGUAGUGUGAGCAAUACAUAUAACCAUAUUUUCCAAGUACUACCCAUGAAUGGGUACUACAAGGACUACAAAGUGUUGACACUGGUUAAAAGAAUCGCAUUAGUCUCUGCAAAUGGAAAUGGCUU